rnacentral:rRNA from 1 species
UACGUAGGGUGCAAGCGUUAAUCGGAAUUACUGGGCGUAAAGCGUGCGCAGGCGGUUCGGAAAGAAGGAUGUGAAAUCCCAGGGCUUAACCUUGGAACUGCAUUUUUAACUACCGGACUAGAGUGUGUCAGAGGGAGGUGGAAUUCCGCGUGUAGCAGUGAAAUGCGUAGAGAUGCGGAGGAACACCGAUGGCAAAGGCAGCCUCCUGGGAUAACACUGACGCUCAGGCACGAAAGCGUGGGGAGCAAACAGG